GAUUCCCCUAGUAACUGCGAGUGAAGCGGGAAAAGCUCAAAUUUAAAAUCUGGCGGUCUUUUGGCUGUCCGAGUUGUAAUCUAGAGAAGUGUUAUCCGCGCUGGACCGUGUACAAGUCUCCUGGAAUGGAGCAUCAUAGAGGGUGAGAAUCCCGUCUUUGACAUGGACUGCCAGGGCUUUUGUGAUGCGCUCUCAAAGAGUCGAGUUGUUUGGGAAUGCAGCUCAAAAUGGGUGGUAAAUUCCAUCUAAAGCUAAAUAUUGGCGAGAGACCGAUAGCGAACAAGUACCGUGAGGGAAAGAUGAAAAGAACUUUGGAAAGAGAGUUAAACAGUACGUGAAAUUGCUGAAAGGGAAACGCUUGAAGUCAGUCGCGUCGUCCAGGGAUCAACCUUGCUUUUGCUUGGUGCACUUUCUGGUUUGACGGGUCAGCAUCAAUUUUGACCAUUGGAAAAAGAUCAAGGGAAUGUGGCAUCUUUGGAUGUGUUUAUAGCCCUUGGUCACAUACAAUGGUUCGGGAUUGAGGAACUCAGCAUGCCGCAAGGCCGGGUGUUUACACCACGUACGUGCUUAGGAUGUUGACAUAUAUAAUGGCUUUAAUCGACCCGUCUUGAAACACGGACCAAGGAGUCUAACAUGCCUGCGAGUGUUUGGGUGGAAAACCCGAGCGCGUAAUGAAAGUGAAAAGUUGAGAUCCCUGUCGUGGGGAGCAUCGACGCCCGGAUCAGACCUUUUGUGACGGUUCCGCGGUAGAGCAUGUAUGUUGGGACCCGAAAGAUGGUGAACUAUGCCUGAAUAGGGUGAAUCCAGAGGAAACUCUGGUGGAGGCUCGUAGCGAUUCUGACGUGCAAAUCGAUCGUCAAAUUUGGGUAUAGGGGCGAAAGACUAAUCGAACCAUCUAGUAGCU
rnacentral:rRNA from 1 species